GAUCAUGGCUCAGGAUGAACGCUAGCUACAGGCUUAACACAUGCAAGUCGAGGGGCAGCAUGGACCCAGCUUUGCUGGGUUUGAUGGCGACCAGCGCACGGGUGAGUAACGCGUAUCCAACCUGCACUUUACUCCGGGAUAGUCUCCUGAAAGGGAGUUUAAUACCGGAUGUGUUUGUCUUUCCGCAUGGGAGCGACAAAUAAAGAUUGAUUGGUAAAGGAUGGGGAUGCGUCCCAUUAG
rnacentral:rRNA from 1 species